UACAGAGGUCUCAAGCGUUGUUCGGAUUCAUUGGGCGUAAAGGGUGCGUAGGCGGUCGGGUAAGUCUGAUGUGAAAUCUCAGAGCUCAACUCUGAAACUGCAUUGGAUACUAUUCGGCUUGAGGUCUGGAGGGGGGACUGGAAUUCUCGGUGUAGCAGUGAAAUGCGUAGAUAUCGAGAGGAACACCAGUGGCGAAGGCGAGUCCCUGGACAGAUCCUGACGCUGAGGCACGAAAGCUAGGGGAGCAAACAGG
rnacentral:rRNA from 1 species